AAUGAACGCUGGCGGCAGGCCUAACACAUGCAAGUCGAACGAGGUAGCAAUACCUAGUGGCGGACGGGUGAGUAACACGUGGGAACGUACCCUUUGCUACGGAAUAGCCCUGGGAAACUGGGAGUAAUACCGUAUGAGCCCGAGAGGGGAAAGAUUUAUCGGCAAAGGAUCGGCCCGCGUUGGAUUAGGUAGUUGGUGGGGUAAUGGCCUACCAAGCCGACGAUCCAUAGCUGGUUUGAGAGGAUGAUCAGCCACACUGGGACUGAGACACGGCCCAGACUCCUACGGGAGGCAGCAGUGGGGAAUCUUAGACAAUGGGGAAACCCGUGAUCUAGCCAUGCCGCGUGAUCGAUGAAGGCCUUAGGGUUGUAAAGAUCUUUCAGGUGGGAAGAUAAUGACUGUACCACCAGAAGAAG
rnacentral:rRNA from 1 species